rnacentral:rRNA from 1 species
UACAGAGGGGGCAAGCGUUGUUCGGAAUUACUGGGCGUAAAGGGCGCGUAGGCGGCCGCCUAAGUCAGACGUGAAAUCCCUCGGCUCAACCGGGGAACUGCGUCUGAUACUGGGUGGCUUGAAUUCGGGAGAGGGAUGCGGAAUUCCAGGUGUAGCGGUGAAAUGCGUAGAUAUAUGGAGGAAUACCGGUGGCGAAGGCGGUCUUCUGGACGGUGACUGACGCUGAGGCGCGAAAGCGUGGGGAGCAAACGGG